rnacentral:rRNA from 1 species
GCGGAUCCGCGGCCGCUGCAGAGUUUGAUCCUGGCUCAGGACGAACGCUGGCGGCGUGCCUAACACAUGCAAGUCGAGCGGGGAAUGCAGCAAUGUAUUCCUAGCGGCGGACGGGUGAGUAACGCGUGGGCAACCUGCCCUGCACAGGGGGAUAACACAGGGAAACUUGUGCUAAUACCGCAUAACAUACUUAUAUGGCAUCAUAUAGGUAUCAAAGGAGCAAUCCGGUGCAGGAUGGGCCCGCGUCCGAUUAGCUAGUUGGUAGGGUAACGGCCUACCAAGGCGACGAUCGGUAGCCGAACUGAGAGGUUGGUCGGCCACAUUGGGACUGAGACACGGCCCAGACUCCUACGGGAGGCAGCAGUGGGGAAUAUUGCGCAAUGGGGGGAACCUGACGCAGCAACGCGCGUGGAGGAAGAAGGUCUUCGGAUUGUAAACUCCUUUGAUGAGGGACGAAGGAAGUGACGGUACCUCAGGAACAAGCCACGGCUAACUACGUGCCAGCAGCCGCGGUAAUACGUAGGUGGCGAGCGUUGUCCCGAAUUAUUUGGCGUAAAGGAUGCGUAGGUGGUAGUUUAAGUGGGAUGUGAAAUCCCUGGGCUUAACCA